rnacentral:rRNA from 1 species
UUGGUCCUACGGGGGGCAGCAGUGAGGAAUAUUGGUCAAUGGACGCAAGUCUGAACCAGCCAUGCCGCGUGCAGGAAGACGGCUCUAUGAGUUGUAAACUGCUUUUGUACGAGGGUAAAUGCAGGUACGUGUAUCUGUUUGAAAGUACCGUACGAAUAAGGAUCGGCUAACUCCGUGCUAGCAGCCGCGGUAAUACGGAGGGUCCAAGCGUUAUCCGGAUUUAUUGGGUUU